UUGCUUAAAAUAAUUUUUGUAUGGUAAAAUAUAUAUUCAAUUUUAAAUAACUUUUGAAUUUCUUUCGCUGUAUUAGCAGUGAUGUGACAGUACUGGUUGGUGGGGUUAUCUAGGGACAAACCUUUUCCAUUUUCCCAUCCAAUCUGUGAGACAACUUUGAUUGUUUGUUAUCACUACAGCAACAUUCCCUGCAUACCGAAGGGAAUAUUCACAUUUUCUUUAGUGAACUGUUGGCUGAAGUUGAAAACACUUUGGAAUAUUUCGUUGGAGUUACUCUGAUAAUAUUCAGUUGCAGUGAUAGGAUCUUGUCCUCUUACUUGAGGAGUGUUUUGCCUUUUCAGCAAGCGAAGGGGCCGCAAAGAUUAUUGAUUUUCUAUCAGUGACUGUCAAUCUGCCGAAGGUGUCUUCUUGAACAAUUUGAGAGGAAACUUCCAUGUGACAAGCCCAUACUUUGUUGGAGGUUGAUAUUUUUAAAUUGAAAACUAUCGGUAUCAUCAAAAGGAUAUGGAUAUUGUGGUCCAACCCUCACUAAUGGUUUCAUGAUGAAAUUUUGCAGCUAACCGUAAAAGAUGUCCAGCUGUUAUAUUUCCCUGUUUCAACAAUAGAAGACGAAAAGAGAUGCAAGAUUUUCGAAGAACGCUACUGUCACUUCACCGGAUUAUAAACGGAACGUAAAACAUUUAUAUUUUUAUAAAUCAAAGUGCAUAUCUGGGCUCCCUUCUUUCUGAGGCCCCGUUUCCCCUAAAUUUCUAAUAAGCCCGUAGGGGGUCAUGCCCCUACUGUACGGUAUAUAUAAAAAUAACAUAUACCGAGGUUUGGAGGGCUCUGGCCGGAAAGGGGACGUGGGGUGCCGCGUAGUCCGAUGAUGUGUUCACGGAGGGCGACGUGGCUGCCCACAAAUCCGAACUAAAGGUUAAUCGCUCCUGUAAAAAUGUUCCAAAUCUUCGGCUCUUCUUCCGGCUUCUCUUAGCCAAUCACCGGGUAAUCUCCCCGGUGGGUCAACAAGGCAGUGUCUCCCCCUGCCUGGGUUGACGGCAACUAUGAAAGGGCUAUUGUGCCCUUUUUAAGUUGCAAAAAUAAUUCGAAAGUGCAGAGAAUUGUCAAUAAAA